GAAACUUAAAGGAAUUGACGGGACCCGCGCAAGCGGUGGAUGAUGUGGUUAAUUCGAUGCAACGCGAAAACCUUACCACCUUUGACAUGUACGGAAUCCUUUAGAGAUAGAGGAGUGCUCGAAAGAGAGCCGUAACACAGGUGCUGCAUGGCUGUCGUCAGCUCGUGUCGUGAGAUGUUGGGUUAAGUCCCGCAACGAGCGCAACCCUUGUCAUUAGUUGCUACAUUCAGUUGGGCACUCUAAUGAGACUGCCGGUGACAAACCGGAGGAAGGUGGGGAUGACGUCAAGUCCUCAUGGCCCUUAUAGGUGGGGCUACACACGUCAUACAAUGGAUGGUACAAAGGGUCGCCAACCCGCGAGGGGGAGCCAAUCCCAUAAAGCCAUUCGUAGUCCGGAUCGCAGUCUGCAACUCGACUGCGUGAAGUCGGAAUCGCUAGUAAUCGUGGAUCAGAAUGUCACGGUGAAUACGUUCCCGGGUCUU
rnacentral:rRNA from 1 species